GCCAUCAUUCAGUUGGGUCACUUUAAGAGACUGCCGGUGUUAAACCGGAGGAAGGUGGGGAUGACGUCAAGUCCUCAUGGCCUUUAUGCCCAGGGCUACACACGUGCUACAAUGGGUGGUACAAAGAGAUGCAAUCUCGCAAGAGCAAGCAAACCUCAAAAAAGCCAUCCUCAGUUCGGAUUGGAGUCUGCAACUCGACUCCAUGAAGUCGGAAUCGCUAGUAAUCGCGGAUCAGCACGCCGCGGUGAAUACGUUCCCGGGCCCUU
rnacentral:rRNA from 1 species